CCUUGUCACUUCUUCGUCACGU
rnacentral:miRNA from 10 species